CACACCAUGUCCAUCUAAAAGCUGGAAACUGACACCAGUCUGGUUUUUUUUUUUUUGGUCUUUUUCAGGGCCACACCCAUGGCAUAUGGAGGUUCCCAGGCUAGGGGUCCCAUUGGAUCUGUAGCCACCUGCCUACACCACAGCCACAGCAUCUCAGGAUCUGGGCCACAUCUGCAAACUACACCACAGCUCACAGCAACACCAGGUCCUUAACCCACUGAGCGAGGCCGGGGAUUGAACCUGCGUCCUCAUGGAUGCUAGUCAGGUUUGCUAACUGCUGAGCCAGGACAGGAACGCCACGAACCUGUCAUUUUUACUGGGAUGCGACCCUGCGAUCACGCUGGUCUGAGGUCCAGCCCCGUCCACCCCCACUCAGCUCCUUACUGCAGGGUGUGUCCCUCAGAUCCAGGGGGAGAACCAGGCGGCCCGGAGCGCCCAGUACCGCGGGGUGCUGGGCACCAUUCUCACCAUGGUGCGCAACGAGGGCCCCCGCAGCCUCUACAACGGGCUGGUGGCCGGCCUGCAGCGCCAGAUGAGCUUCGCCUCCAUCCGCAUCGGCCUCUACGACUCCGUCAAGCAGCUCUACACGCCCAAGGGAUCGGACCACUCCAGCAUCACCACCCGGAUUUUGGCGGGCUGCACCACGGGGGCCAUGGCAGUGACCUGCGCCCAGCCCACGGACGUGGUGAAGGUUCGAUUCCAGGCCAGCAUACACGCCGGGCCCGGGAGCAACAGGAAGUACAGCGGGACGAUGGAUGCCUACAGGACCAUCGCCAGGGAGGAAGGGGUCCGGGGCCUGUGGAAAGGGCUGCGAGGAGACAGAAAUGAAGAGAGGCCGCCCUCGUGGCUCUCACAGUGACACAGAGGGGAUGGGACGUGUCCAGGAGCAGCCGUUCCACGGGGCAGGACGUGCUGGGCUCACGUGGAGGCGCAGAGCCAGAGGCGGGAGAGGCUACGGGCUGGGGGAAGCAGCUCAACCGCUGGACCUCAAAGGCCCCGUGGGCUCCCGGUGUGUGGAGAUGGGAGGAAGGGGCGAGCCCAGCAAAGGCCUAAGGGGUGACAGCUGAGCAC
rnacentral:lncRNA from 1 species